GCUUCACCCAUUUUGAAACUAACAAAUAUGUGAGGCGAGUUUUUGCUUUGAAUUUUUCAAGUCUUGGAAUGGUUACCAAGGUUCUAUUUAUUCUUGAAAAAUUGUAAUUGUUGUGCCUUAUAUUUUCUUUUUGUAUUGUCUUUGUGAUAUUCUAAAAUUUAAGAUACAAGUUGGCUUUUUCUAGAUUGUUUAAUUUUAUAGAUUAUUCAUAGUUUAUCAUGUGAUAUCAUCAUCUGAAAUUCGCUUUUGGCAGUUUUUUGUGUAUUUUUAUGAGACAGUUUGGUGAGUUCAGUAUUAUCAUAUAUUUAAGAUUUCCGAUCGUCGCCAGAUUAUGUUAUGCACCUUUAUGGCAAUUAUACAAUAUUUUUUUGGUUUGGCUAUACUCUCCGAGCUUAGGGUCAUUAGCUUGUCGCGGUGAGUAUCUCUGCUGUGAUCCAUAGUCGUUGGAGGCUUAGCUUUUUAUUGGACCCUGUAGGUUGCGCUAGCGCUGUUGUUUUACUUGAGCUUGGAACUAUCAGUUGGUAGCCCAAUUCAAUGGUAGAACCUAUUUUGAUAUUAUGAUGAUUACCUAGUGGUAAUAGUAAUUGUUUAGCAAUUGACCUUGUGAGAAUUGUUUGUGCAUUUAUGAUGUACUUGUAACAGUCUCCACUUAAGUUGGGUUUAAUGUAUUUUUUUUUCUAAUCUUUCCUAACCUUGCUUUAUGUUUGGUAUCCUUGGCUACAUGUUUUGUCUUUUUAUUUUUGUUUUAUCGUUGUUUUGUAAUGAAGAACAGUCUAAACUUUACAUCAACCAAGACAAUCGUUUAUUUAAUUUCAUCGGUAUGUCUGAGAUUCUCAAGCAUUAUAUUUUGCACUAACUAGUUCUGUUUAAAUCAAGUUUACCGUUUAAGUUAUAUUUAAACAAAAAAAUUACCACACUUUUUCUUUACAUUUGCGUUGGCCAUGACGAUAACUGUGACGCCCUUUGAUGCCCACGAUCCACGAUGCCUACAUCGUCCAGACGGUGCUGGUUUUCCGCUUUGACAAAUCUCUUGGACGAGAUCCUGGACUUCUUCGAGCUGGUUUUCAAAUAGAAGCUGUAGUAAUCGCAGCUCCAAACGACAUUGCUGUUCGAGCGUGCAGAGCGCUGCCGGAACGACGAGCGCAGUGCAAGGAGGUGUAACCUGUCAGCAAACGAGCUUCGCCUGGGCCUAUGAAGCCUUCGAGUUCCUGGCCGUCAUGUUGAAAUUUUGGCUGUUGCACGAUCACCUCACCCACCUCGUCGUCUUCGGCGUCGCCGUGGACCUCACGUCAGGUAGUUUCCCAGCCGUGCCAGGGAAGGCCUGCAUCGCUCGCGUCUUCAGACAAGUGUUUCGCUUGACGCCCACGUCGUCGUCAGCGGUCAGAUGUUGCAGGCCCUCCGACUUAACAAAGUCAGGCCUGGCGUUCAGCUGUAGUCGUCGUGAGCGGCAGUCACUUCUUCCUGUCGUUUACCAUCACCAUGAGGAUGCCGCUGACGCCUUCUUGCACCUUGGCCAACGUCCCAGGAUAUCGGCGCCGUCACGGUAGCGAUGACACAGUGGGAACCGGCAUUCACCACGUCGGCAACUGUUUUGGUGAAGUUGACUUCUCCGCCAGGCCACAUGGUCGAUAUGAUUUGAAAACGGUGUAAAAGGAUGGGAAGACUGGUUGAUAGGCCUUACUUUGUCAGAGCGGAGGCCUUGCGCGGUCGUGACGCUGUUGGCGUCGUCAGCGGCAGUCAGUUCUUCCUGUCGGGCACCAUCACCAUGAGGACGGCGGCGGCGCCCCCUUGCACCUUGACCAGCCAUCCAAGGCAUCUUCCCCCGUUACGAAAGCGAUGACGCCUUGGGAACUGGCCUCCACCACGUCGGCUUUUAUUUUCCUGAAGAUGACUUCUAUGCCGCGUCAAAUGGGUGCUGAGUACGAGUUCUGGUCGCUGAGCGGCGUCAUGCUGUCCGCACGUUCAGCGUUUGGGCAGGCUGGACGAUAGCGGAGACGGUGCGGCAUCUUGACGCUGUAAACGUCGUGACCGGUCUGUGGCAGUCACUUCAUCUUGUCGGGUACCAUCACCAUGUGGAAGGCGGCUGCGCUUUCUUCCUUGUCCAACGUCCCAAUACAUCGGUCGACGUCAUUUAAGCGGAGU